rnacentral:rRNA from 1 species
AGUGAACGCUGGCGGUAGGCCUAACACAUGCAAGUCGAACGGCAGCACAGUAAGAGCUUGCUCUUACGGGUGGCGAGUGGCGGACGGGUGAGGAAUACAUCGGAAUCUACUUUUUCGUGGGGGAUAACGUAGGGAAACUUACGCUAAUACCGCAUACGACCUACGAGUGAAAGCAGGGGAUCUUCGGACCUUGCGCGAUUGAAUGAGCCGAUGUCGGAUUAGCUAGUUGGCGGGGUAAAGGCCCACCAAGGCGACGAUCCGUAGCUGGUCUGAGAGGAUGAUCAGCCACACUGGAACUGAGACACGGUCCAGACUCCUACGGGAGGCAGCAGUGGGGAAUAUUGGACAAAGGGCGCAAGCCUGAUCCAGCCAUACCGCGUGGGUGAAGAAGGCCUUCGGGUUGUAAAGCCCUUUUGUUGGGAAAGAAAAGCAGCAGGUUAAUACCCCGCUGUUCUGACGGUACCCAAAGAAUAAGCACCGGCUAACUUCGUG